AUACUCUGGUUUCUCUUCAGAUCGUAUAAAUCUUUCGCCUUUUACUAAAGAUUUCCGUGGAGAGGAACAGGCACGAGUGUCGAGAAAUUUUUUGAGGCUCUACUUCGCUAGAGCU
rnacentral:snRNA from 1 species